GAAGCGUGCCCGAGCUAUAGGGACUAUUUUGAUAAAAUAGCCACAGAGGCCUCAACCUCUCCCUUCUAA
rnacentral:tRNA from 1 species